rnacentral:piRNA from 1 species
UGUUACUGGUUGUAUCCUGAAUGGGCU